rnacentral:rRNA from 1 species
CCUACGGGGGGCUGCAGUGGGGAAUUUUGGACAAUGGGGGCAACCCUGAUCCAGCCAUUCCGCGUGAGUGAAGAAGGCCUUCGGGUUGUAAAGCUCUUUCGGCCGGGAAGAAAUCGCAUCUCCUAAUACGGGGUGUGGAUGACGGUACCGGAAGAAGAAGCACCGGCUAACUACGUGCCAGCAGCCGCGGUAAUACGUAGGGUGCGAGCGUUAAUCGAAAUUACGCGGCGUAAUCAGUGAGACAGAUGUGACAUCCCCGGGCUUAACCUGGGAACUGCGUUUGUGACUGGUGGGCUUGAGUGCGGCAGAGGGGGGUGGAAUUCCACGUGUAGCAGUGAAAUGCGUAGAGAUGUGGAGGAACACCGAUGGCGAAGGCAGCCCCCUGGGUCGACACUGACGCUCAUGCACGAAAGCGUGGGGAGCAAACAGGAUUAGAUACCCCUGUAGUC